GCUCUCUUGGCCAAGUGGUAAGGCAUCGCACUCGUAAUGCGGGGAUCGCUGGUUCAAACCCGGCAGUGAGCA
rfam:Ascoidea rubescens DSM 1968 unplaced genomic scaffold ASCRTscaffold_1, whole genome shotgun sequence.